UACUUUGAUAGUAUUGAGCAUUUGUAAUCUUUGUGAUUAUAGUGAAAUCUCCUUGGAAGUGCAAGGGGGACUGGACUACUUCCGUGUUGUGGAAGGAACCAGGAUAACUGCUUGUGUCUUUGUCUUUCUUUUCUCUGCUCUGUUCUUUCCGCUGCAUAUCUGAUUCUGAUCAUUUCAUCAGAAGCACUCUCAGUCUGCUUCUGAAGUUUUAUCAGAAGAAGAAUUUUCUAGACAGAAAAAGAAAACACAAUUCAACCCCCCCCCCCCCUUCUUGUGUUUU
rnacentral:lncRNA from 1 species